rnacentral:rRNA from 1 species
CAGCCGCCGCGGUAACACGGAGGGGGCUAGCGUUGUUCGGAAUUACUGGGCGUAAAGCGCACGUAGGCGGCCUUGUAAGUUAGAGGUGAAAGCCCGGAGCUCAACUCCGGAAUUGCCUUUAAGACUGCAGAGCUAGCAGGUGAGAGAGGUGAGUGGAAUUCCGAGUGUAGAGGUGAAAUUCGUAGAUAUUCGGAAGAACACCAGUGGCGAAGGCGGCUCACUGGCUCAUACUGGACGCUGAGGUGCGAAAGCGUGGGGAGCAAACAGGAUUAGAUACCCCCGUAGUCCCUGUCUCUUAUAC